GAAUCCUGAGGGAUAGAGAUGGGCUAAGAAAGGGGAGGGACUUCCGGGUCUUCCCUGGGACUGGCAGUAGUAACCAGGAACUAGGUUGCUACCACUUUUCGCGGCCUUCUCGCUCUAGUCACGGCUGCAGAAACCCUCAGAGGGCAUCAGCUUGCCUGUACAUGGUGGGCGAGCAGAAAGUAUGCAGGCACCUGCAGCCCGCUCGUGGGUGGAGCCUGCUAAUGAGCAACUCUGCUGACUGACUGGAGGGGAGGUGCUCAUUCCAGGCCUCUGGCCAGGAGCCUUCUCUUCUGGGCUUGUCAGAGAGCCAGUGCCACAGGCUUCAGGUUCACCUCAAUGGAAAACAGCAUCCGAGCCACAGCCCAGGCCGCCCAUCUCUCUGAAAAGGCUCAGCAUACAAGCUCUGUCCUGAUGGCGGUCCCUCCUGUUGUCACUCUGUGAACGGGGUCUACUGCCUUCUGAACAACUCCUGAGACAACAGUAUAUUCAUUUAAAAUGUCCAUUUUCAGCUGGGCAGUGGUGGCACACAC